CCUACGGGAGGCAGCAGUGGGGAAUAUUGCACAAUGGGGGAAACCCUGAUGCAGCGACGCCGCGUGAGUGAAGAAGUAUUUCGGUACGUAAAGCUCUAUCAACAGGGAAGAAAAUGACGGUACCUGACUAAGAAGCCCCGGCUAACUACGUGCCAGGAGCCGCGGUAAUACGUAGGGGGCAAGCGUUCGCCGGAUUUACUGGGUGUAAAGGGAGCGUAGACGGCAGCGCAAGUCUGGAGUGAAAUCCCAUGGCUUAACCAUGGAACUGCUUGGGAAACUGGGCAGAGAGAGUGCAGUAGAGGUAAGCGGAAUUACUAGUGUAGCGGUGAAAUGCGUAGAUAUUAGGAGGAACACCAGUGGCGAAGGCGGCUUACUGGACUGUAACUGACGUUGAGGCUCGAAAGCGUGGGGAGCAAACAGGAUUAGAGACCCCAGUAGUC
rnacentral:rRNA from 1 species